UAUUCAAAAUAGACUUUGUCACCCGUUCACAUAUAAACAGAGCAGCGACACAACGUAAAGAAAUGUUGCUCUUGUGUGUGUGCCUUUACCCACUCUAGUUCAGUCCUUUAACAGAUAGACAUCAUCGCCCUUCAAGGAACAAUCAGUUUGGCUCGAGGAACGACUUUCUCCUUCCCCACGCCCCAGGUUUGGAAUGGCUGAUUUGUCUUACAUAUCUCAGCGAGAGAGAGCAGCUGGCUCGAAAUACGAUCUAAGAAUGAUUUGGGAGAAGAAAAUCGAAAAGCAGACGGAGUGGCUGGAGCAGGAGAGGCUGAGGCUGAGCAAGAGUGCCCUUAGUAGACUCAUCCAAGAAUGGAACCACAGAGUUGAAAGCAAAAAAAGGCUGAUGCAAACCAUUUUAGAAAAUGACAGAAAGAAAAAGAAACCUGUUCAGCAAAUACCUUCCAGUGCUUAAUUGGUGAAGAUACAAUCAAGUCAAUCUAGGACAGGCAGCCAUCGUGAUAUUUAUCGAUUGCAGUGCAAAUGUGUAGUUUUAGAAGAUUGUGGCAUUCUGAAUUAACUCUAAUACAUUACCUAAUUCUUUACAAUAAUAUUCUUAUUAAAUCUGCUCAGUUUCCAAUAAUUUUCUGAUUUCAUGUGAAAAGUUAUUGCUUGAUUUAUUGCACUCUUAUUUAUAGAACACUUUAGAUUUAAUUUUUGUAAAUGUUAGUUACAGAAGUUAUGAAAGUUUGGGGUUUUAUAUGUAAGAAAAUGUUUACAGGUAGCAGAAGUGGUCCUUAAUGAGGUAAUGGGUAAAAGCUAUGCAGUUACAGUGCAAUGAUUUUGAUAUGAGUGGCCUUUUAUUGUAAUUUAACUAAUGGAUGUAUUUACUGGGAUGGUAUUUGGUAUAUCCGGCUCUUCUAAGUGAUCACUUGAUUCAGAAGAAGUGGUUGUGAGAGCCCAAAGAAUUGAAUGUAGAACGUUGAAUGAACAAUACUUUAUUGUCACUUGUGACAAGUCACAGUAAUAUUCUUUGUUUUACAUACCCAAAGUAUGCAAAGAGUCGCCGCAUAAAGGAUACCGUUGAUAUAGAAACUAGUUGGAAGUAUCAGCCAAAAGGUGUGGAAACAGGAUUUUUGAGAUGAGAUUAUGAAAACAAGUGAACGAUUUUCAGUAUAUUAUCAAGUAUAAAGAAUUACACAGAGAAUGAAAGAAAGCAAAGAAAUUAUUAAACAUGUAGUUUCUUGCUUACUGCAGCUCCAUCAAAUUGAAGUUUCCCAAAUUGCUGCAUGAGAUACAACAGUCAGUGACCAUGUCAAUGGUGAAUAUGUCAAUGAUGACUGAGCUCAACCUUGAAGCAGUAAACAUGUUCAAUGUAGCCUGGCUGUCUAAACUCGCAAAUUUCAAGCAUAGACUGUUCAUUGCUGCCACAGGAUUAUGAGAACAUUAACAAGGCAUUAGCAACUAUGAGUAAUACUUUAUUCCAGGUAACUGAAAUAUCUGAUGAGGCAAAAAUGCCAUUCUGUGUUGCUUCACUGAUGAGAUAGAUCCCCAUUGAUUGCAGGGACAGUAAGUAAUGGCAGAAUGUGUCUUGGAUUAACUCACUAUAAAUUAUGCAGAAACCUUUUAAUUUCACACAUUGUGAUUCCAGAAUUGCCAUUUCCUGCCUUGCUCUCCAAAAGUUGGUAUCACAGUGUGGUUCCGCCAGUGCUGACAGCCAUUUGUCAAAUGUGAGCUUAGUUGGUGAGUGUUGCCAAGUUAUUAGAACAUGGAAAAAAGCCAGACUUAACCCUGUCCUUGUCCAUCUGUCCCACAUAUGCACAUUGCAACCAGGGUAUUGGGAUAGGAACAAGAAAGGGAUUUCUGAGCUGUUUCAUUUUUAAACCUGUGAUCUAUGGGCCGUUUGUAGAAUCUCACAGAAAAUGGGAUGUGUGUGAUUUUGAAAGUGAUUGUUGGAGAAUUUAAUAAAACUUUAUUUUGCUCUUAAUAAAAGGUGUAGAUGCAUUGAUAAAAGUCAA